GGCCGCCUGGCGAAAUGGCAUCGCGUCUGACUACGAUUAGGUAAUCAGGAGAUUGCAGGUUCGACCCCUGCGGUGGUCA
rfam:Heterobasidion irregulare TC 32-1 unplaced genomic scaffold scaffold_12, whole genome shotgun sequence.